AACGAACGCUGGCGGCAUGCCUAACACAUGCCAGUCGAACGAGCCCUUCGUGCCUAGGGGUGCUCGGCUACGUAACGCGUGGUACCCUGCCCUUAGGUUCGGAAUAACUCCCCGAAAGGGGUCCUAAUACCGGAUAUUGUCACCGGAGCUAAGAUUUAUUGCCUUUGGUUGGGCCCGGGUUGGAUUAGCUAGUUGGUAGGGUAAAAGCCUACCAAGGGACCGAUCCAUAGCUGGUUUGAGAGGAUGGUCAGGCACACUGGGACUGAGACACGGCCCGGACUCCUACGGGAGGCAGCAGUGGGGAAUAUUGGACAAUGGGCGAAAGCCUGAUCCAGCAAUGCCGCGUGAGUGAUGGAGGCCUUAGGGUUGUAAAGCUCUUUUACCCGGGAUGAUAAUGACAGUACCGGGAGAAUAAGCUCCGGCUAACUCCGUG
rnacentral:rRNA from 1 species